rnacentral:rRNA from 1 species
AGCAGUCGCCGCGGUAAUACGAAGGGGGCUAGCGUUGCUCGGAAUGACUGGGCGUAAAGGGUGCGUAGGCGGUCUGAUAAGUCAUCUGUGAAAUCUCUGGGCUCAACCCAGAGUCUGCAGGCGAAACUGUCGGGCUUGAGUAUGGGAGAGGUGAGUGGAAUUUCCGGUGUAGCGGUGAAAUGCGUAGAUAUCGGAAGGAACACCUGUGGCGAAAGCGGCUCACUGGACCAUAACUGACGCUGAUGCACGAAAGCUAGGGGAGCAAACAGGAUUAGAUACCCCGGUAGUCCCUGUCUCUUAUAC